CUCAAUUUCUAUUUCUAUGUUAGUACUUCUACCUCAUCUCUACCAAACAUUACUUUUGAAGUAACUCCACCAUGCAACUUAAUAAAAUUAAAGAUUAGCUACUAACCCUAUCAUGAAAUUAUUUAGAGUUGAGGUAGAGGUACGGACCUAGGAAAUAGAAAUUGAGACAGUGAACAAAAUAUAGUUUGAUGAUUGUUAAUUAGAAAUAGAAAAUUUAUAAACUCUAAUUUGUAUAUUUGUGACUAGAUAACCCGGAGUCAUUAAGUGCGAC
rnacentral:lncRNA from 1 species